UAGACCGAAAUCACCAUACCAUCAACAAGGGUUCAUGGAGUACCUUGUAUGUGGUCAGCAUCAUGCUAGGUGUUUCAGGCAUGUCAUAGGAGUGGAGUUAGAUCUCUAUGAAUAGACCAAAAGCAGACCUCUACAGGAUAUUUGGGUGCAAGUGAGGCUAAUUCGAGGCACAUCUGCUUUACAGUAUCGCAGUCUUACUUUCCUUUGGCUGGGGCUCCAGCCCCUGAGUGCAGAGUUCUUGCCUGCCUCCCUCUAAAAUUGUCCCCUCAGAAAGCUGCUACCUAACGUUGGCCCCUGCUGUUUUCCUUGGUGGCUCUGAUGGAAGGAGCAGAAACACCUGGUCUUGAAAUAUAUGGCCUAUAAAAUCAUUCUCGUUGGGAAAGAAUUACAGACAAGUCAUCAUCCUUUGAGGAUAAGUUUGAUUAAAAGGUAAAUUUAGGCCUCUGGACAUCAUACAAGUAAUCACUACACAAUGAAAUUGUUGUUCACAUCAGAAGUACUGAUUGUUACCCAU